rnacentral:rRNA from 1 species
GUAGGGUGCGAGCGUUAAUCGGAAUUACUGGGCGUAAAGCGUGCGCAGGCGGCUUUGCAAGACAGAGGUGAAAUCCCCGGGCUCAACCUGGGAACUGCCUUUGUGACUGCAAGGCUAGAGUACGGCAGAGGGGGAUGGAAUUCCGCGUGUAGCAGUGAAAUGCGUAGAUAUGCGGAGGAACACCGAUGGCGAAGGCAAUCCCCUGGGCCUGUACUGACGCUCAUGCACGAAAGCGUGGGGGGAGCAAACAGGAUUAGAUACCCUGGUAGUCCACGCCCCUAAACGAUGUCAACUGGUUGUUGGACGGCUUGCUGUUCAGUAACGAAGCUAACGCGUGAAGUUGACCCGCCUGGGAGUACGGCCGCAAGGUUG